rnacentral:rRNA from 1 species
CCUACGGGAGGCUGCAGUGAGGAAUUUUGGUCAAUGGACGAGAGUCUGAACCAGCCAAGUAGCGUGAAGGAUGACUGCCCUAUGGGUUGUAAACUUCUUUUAUAUGGGAAUAAAACGUUCCACGUGUGGGAUUUUGUAUGUACCAUAUGAAUAAGGAUCGGCUAACUCCGUGCCAGCAGCCGCGGUAAUACGGAGGAUCCGAGCGUUAUCCGGAUUUAUUGGGUUUAAAGGGAGCGUAGGUGGAUUGUUAAGUCAGUUGUGAAAGUUUGCGGCUCAACCGUAAAAUUGCAGUUGAAACUGGCAGUCUUGAGUACAGUAGAGGUGGGCGGAAUUCGUGGUGUAGCGGUGAAAUGCUUAGAUAUCACGAAGAACUCCGGUUGCGAAGGCAGUUCACUGGACUGCAACUGACACUGAGGCUCGAAAGUGUGGGUAUCAAACAGGAUUAGAUACCCCGGUAGUC